rnacentral:lncRNA from 1 species
CACAGAUUCACCGAGGAAGAGCAACGACAGUUGGCAAGCUCAGGAUAGUGACCAGGUAAAUAGAUUUUUUAUUAUUUUCUUGUUUACAACACACCGAUGCUUUUAAACACAUCUUUUAUCCAUUACCACCAAUUAUUUCUGUGUGUUAAUUAAUCGAGAAUUGAAGCGAAGCUGGGAAAAUGUGUCGAAUAAGUAGACCGAGUAAAAGGAUCUUUGACCUUUCGGAGUCGAAGGGCUGUAGAUUUUACGCACUUGGUCAGUUUUUAAUAAUAAUAAUGCUGGCCACCGGACGGUGUAAAUCAUUCGAUUAUUUUCGGAGUUUCGAUUUAAACUGGAGCGAAACUAUUUGGUAUAGCGAUUAUUGGAAGAAGUAAAAUCGUGUCCCACUGAUUUAUAUUUUCCACUUAACCCUUUAUGACGUGGCUGGAAGUUUAUAAACCGAAGCUUGGUCACUUGUCUAAAUGUAGAAUCAAUACUAGCUUUUGCUACUUAAUAGACGCGGCUGGCUGGUGUGGGAUGGCCACUGACCGUCGACUCCUUGGCCGUACAUUAAACGUUACUCAGCUGUUGACAAUGUUUUGAGUGCCCAUAAAUUUCCUCUCUCAGUUAGUGGCUGUAUUAUAUCUUUUAUUUCUCAUUUUUUCCCUCUUCUACUUCUCUAACCUAUCGAUUUUUUAUAAGCAGCUUUUAGACGUUAUAAUUUACCGCUAUAGACAAAUUGUUUCGGAUUAUCUCGAUACAUGUUCGAAAGAAUAUUAUUUCUUUUAUAUUCUGUCGUUUUUCGUUUUACUUGUUGGAAGAUUAUAGUCAGUGGAAACUUGAUAUCUUCUUGGAGUGUUUUUUAAAUUAUUAUUAUUGCUUCAUGGCGUAGAGUCUACUUGAAGUUUCUAGCUGGUUCCCGUAUCAGAUGAUAAUGUUGGUCGGGCGGAAAUGAGUUACUUCGUCGUCAAACCAUGUAAAUUUGUGGAGAGUGACAGGUGUCGCGGUGGUGGAAAACAGCUGCCAUCCCGCUUCUCGCUUCGGUGCCCGUCAUCGUGCCUUCAACAUUAUUUGCUUGCAUCGGCAUUUUUAGCCUCUUUCAGCUACCAACUCGGCUCGUUUCCACUCUCCCUUCUCUAUAUUACAUAUAAGUUUUAAAGCCGCUGGUCUCUUACACGCCUGACUCGCCUGGGAAUGAUUUUUCGCCUUGGCUCUUUAUCUCCUUAAUGUUUCUCCUGGCUGUAUCAGCCGAAUCGGUGACUUUAAUUAACACCGACGUAUUCGCUAGGGACUUUAUACUUUCUCUUUUAUCACUAGAUAAAAUAUAUAUAUAUAUAUAAAAAGUUGGCAUUUAUGCCACGCUAAUAAUGUCGACGCCAGUGCGAGUUUGACAUUCAGUUGCAGGAGCAAACCGAAUGCAUUAUUAUUUUUUUCAUUCCAAAUUCUCUCUCGUGUUUUUUUAACUAAGAAACAAAGUUUCCCGCUCGGAGAUUAAAGGAAAGGAGUGAAAGUAACGGUUACAUCAGUCUAUUUAUGGAAAGUAAAUUACGAUUGAUGCCAAAGGAGUAUCAUAAUACGGGAGUCACUGUAACUGUUCUCAGCAGAUAAUCGCCCGGACUUUCAUCGGUUUUCCUUAACGAUAUAACAUCAUUCAUCUGUAUUUACACAUAUCGUCGUUUAUAGUCUUGAUCGAAUAAAUGUAGACCUCAUUAUUUAUUUUUUCGUCGGUUAUUCGUCUUCGUUCCAUCUGGCUCUUUGCCUCCCAGCGUUUUAAAAACGGUUCGGCCGUAAUGGACAUUUAAACGCUGUUACAGCAAUAAAAUUUACUCCCAGCGACGGUUUCGGGGGCGCGAUGGCAAAAGAAAGAAAAAUAUUUAAUGUAAAAGUGAAUUUUUUUUUGCGAACAUUCUCAAACGUUUUACAUCUGGAACCAUUUAAGAGUGGCGGGCCAGAGCGCGAAACUGCGGAAAUUUGUAACCAGAUGGUGUAGAGUAAUUUUCUUAAAUGUAGAAAUGGAAAUGAGCGAAGCAUCCGUGUAAAAUUGCUUAAUAGGUCUGGAUAAUGAUAAUCGUUAGAAUAGUUGCUGUUCUCUAGCCUAUUUUAAGCGCUUAAAUUAAAAAUAUAUAAUAUAAAUAUAUCACGUUAAAUAAUCUGCAUAAUGGUACGCAGCCAGAAAAAAUUAGCUACCUGGAUAUUGUGAAGGUGUGAAAAUCCGUCUAGACUUAUAAUCGUCUUAAAAAUUAUAUGUCGUAUCCGGAAAAGUUUUCAGAAUUUCCCGACUCGGAAAUGAUGGCCAGCGACGGAAGAGAAAUUAUAUCAAUCGAUUAUUUUCCACGUUCCGAUGCCAAUGUCGAUCGAUUUUGCUAUAAAAUAACAUUAAGCGAGGCGAUAAUGGGCUGUGUCCAUCAGUAGGCGUUACACCGUACUGGUUUUAACUACAGAAAAUAAACACACUGUAAUCUAUACCGGAGAAUAAUAAAGCGGAAGAAAAUUAAGAAGAGAUUGUUAUCUGGGGUCUGAAUAUAGAAGAGAAGUUUGCACGCCAUUAUUUUCGACCGACCGCUCCGUAAACGAUACGUCAUUUGCAUAUCAUAAAUAAGAAACACCGGACGAGUAACCGUAUCCUGCCAAGUAUUUUAAUAUCGAACGGAUUUUUGCAGCAGUGUAUUGGAAAUUGUAACCCGGUUUUUGUCUCCAGUCGAUUCGAAGUUUCAAUCCGACUCUUCUGAAAUUCAAAUAUCUGAGUCGCUCUACGAUUUACUGGUAUACUAAUAAGCGUUAUCGGCGGUAACUCUCUUCUCUCUCUACCUUUUUUAACGCUGUUCGGGCGGACACUGACUUUUAUAUAUGUUAAACGACGGCGCGCACCUCUUAUCUCCAGCAAAAAUUUGAAUAGUAAUUUAUAAAUCCCGGAGAAAGAGAUAAAUUUCAAUUACUCGGGACUAGCGCAAAAAUGCGUUUAAAUGCGAAACUUAAAAAAAAAAGAAAAAUAUUCUCAUUAUUUCGUGCCAGGGUAAUGAGUAAAAAAAUUUUUUUUUUUUUUUUUGCGCUAGAAUUUGUCAA